rnacentral:rRNA from 1 species
GAUGAACGCUGGCGGCGUGCCUAAUACAUGCAAGUCGAGCGAACAGACGAGGAGCUUGCUCCUCUGACGUUAGCGGCGGACGGGUGAGUAACACGUGGAUAACCUACCUAUAAGACUGGGAUAACUUCGGGAAACCGGAGCUAAUACCGGAUAAUAUAUUGAACCGCAUGGUUCAAUAGUGAAAGACGGUUUUGCUGUCACUUAUAGAUGGAUCCGCGCCGCAUUAGCUAGUUGGUAAGGUAACGGCUUACCAAGGCAACGAUGCGUAGCCGACCCGAGAGGGUGAUCGGCCACACUGGAACUGAGACACGGUCCAGACUCCUACGGGAGGCAGCAGUAGGGAAUCUUCCGCAAUGGGCGAAAGCCUGACGGAGCAACGCCGCGUGAGUGAUGAAGGUCUUCGGAUCGUAAAACUCUGUUAUUAGGGAAGAACAAAUGUGUAAGUAACUAUGCACGUCUUGACGGUACCUAAUCAGAAAGCCACGGCUAACUACGCG